rnacentral:lncRNA from 12 species
CCACAGGGACUCACGAAAGCACUUCAGCUCCACAACAAAGGAGUGAUUUCACUGACUUCAUGACACAUGGCCUCUAGGAUUCUGUGACCAUUCCCAACUGGAGAAUAUAUUAAAUAAAGGAGCACUUGCUUUUUUUUUUGCCAGUUUUAUAAAGAAAAUUUAUUUAUUUUUAAAAAUAGAAAUGGAACCCAAAAUUAGUCUAAAAUGAAUGCAUGCACACAAAAUUGAAAAUACAGAUGUGAACCAAAUCCAAAUAACAGUAUCAUUUUUAUGCUGUUGAAACAGCAUAUUUUGAUGGCUACCUCAUAAGGAAUUUCAUAUUCUGGGGGAAAAGUGAAAUGUUUGAGACCCCCCCUUUUAUCCUCUUAAUACCAAAAGGUAAGAUUUAAUCUUGUUUCCAGACUUCAGGGGAAGUUAUAUGAGUGAUACUUUCUUAAAUUCUCAGAGAAAACAAAUCUAAAAUAUUUAAAAUGACUUUUCAAAAUGUAUAUAUUAACAGUUUUCUCUGAAGAUCAAUGGGCUAAAUUGAGAUCGAUCUUUCCUAAAGAAGAUUUAAUUUUUAUUUGUCGGGUACAACUUCUAUAUGGAAGUUUAAAACUAUUAAUUGUAACUGCUGCUUUCUAGUUAAUCAUCAAUUCAGUUCCUAUUAAUAAUGCAAACUUUUACACACAGAGCUAGCCAUGAUAUUCUGCUUGCCUGGAGGAACCACAUAUUAAAAGGACGGCAGAGAAUUCAUCACCCUCAUUACUUCUUGUCAAACCUUCUUCCAGUCACCAUUAUCUGUGAACUCCGAAUUGGUGACCUACGAGUAAGAGAACAACAAGCCCUAAUGUCAGUGGUGGGAAGUACAAAUAGAAGAACCUAA